UGGGGGAUAUUGCACAAUGGGCGAAAGCCUGAUGCAGCGACGCCGCGUGGGGGAUGAAGGCCUUCGGGUUGUAAACUUCUUUAGCUCUGAACAAGGCGCACCAUGGGGUGUGUUGAGUGUAGGGGUUGAUUAGCGCCGGCUAACUACGUGCCAGCAGCCGCGGUAAUACGUAGGGCGCGAGCGUUGUCCGGAAUUAUUGGGCGUAAAGGGCUUGUAGGUGGCUGGUUGCGUCUGUCGUGAAAGCUCAUGGCUUAACUGUGGGUUUGCGGUGGGUACGGGCUGGCUUGAGUGCAGUAGGGGAGGCUGGAAUUCCUGGUGUAGCGGUGGAAUGCGCAGAUAUCAGGAGGAAUACCGGUGGCGAAGGCGGGUCUCUGGGCUGUUACUGACACUGAGGAGCGAAAGCAUGGGGAGCGAACAGG
rnacentral:rRNA from 1 species